CAGUAAGCGCACGCGCACUUUUCACUUAGUAUUACGCGAAGUUUGUGACGGACAAACGUAUAUUUACGCGAUAUUUAUAUCUUCGUAUUUAUUGACAUUAUUAGUGGGUGUGCGUUAAUUUGAAAGGAUCACAGUGGGUGCACGAUUUAUAAACAAAUAAUAUUGCGGAAAAACAUACUAAAAAGUAAAAAAUUUAAAGAAAAGGUGGAAAUUAGAUCGCGUUGAAAAAAUCCUAAGAAAAAUAUCUUAUAAGAAAUAAAAGAGAAAAGUGCGUGUGUUUUAUGGAUUUCAUAAUCAAGUGUCUAUAAUAACAUACUUAAUUCCUUAUUUCAUAUUUUAAAGCAAAUAUUUUGAUAAGUAACAUACAUUUAAUUAAGUGAACAUUUAAAUAACCAUGUGUUAGAAUGUAAACAAACAAAAGUGAAGUCCCAAAGAUGUGUCAGACUAGACCUAGAGACAGGUGCUCCAAGAAUGGCGUGAGAGUCCACCAGAGGUGACGAUGACGUCGUGGACGAAGGAACUGGACGAGGCAGCGGACCUGGCCACGAAGGCUGGCUACUGGCAUGUGGUGCUCUUCUAUAUGCUGUGCGCUUUGGCCGCCAUACCCACUUCUUUCCUGGUCUUCUCUCAGGUCUUCACAAACGCCACGCCAGAGCACUGGUGUGCGCCAAUCCCCGAGUUGGAGACCUUGGAACUCCCUGAUGAGCUGGUCCGCAACCUCACGGUCCCUCACAACGAGGGCGUGUUUGAGGGCUGUCGGGCUUACACCCUGGACCUGAAGGUGCUGAUGGAAGAACUGGGGGAUUAUGCUGAGGAGAGAUCAGUUCUAGUACGAGAGGGUAAUGCCCUACGCGUGGUGUCCUCCAAACAGCUGGUACCAGCAACGGGCCAAGAAAGAGAGCUACAAAUAUCCAGGGCAGUGGACGCAAUAAUUAAAGCCAGGAGCGAGAACACAAGUUCUUGCAGCUGUGGCUGGAGGUUCAGCACGGAACAUUACCAGAGGACCCUCGUUACUGAGUUCUCCCUGGUCUGCGACGAGGACUGGCUGCCACGCACCGGCAACACGCUCUUCUGGGUCGGGUCGAUAUUUGGCAACCUCGUGUUUGGAUGGAUGUCUGACAGGUCAGGUCGUCGGCCCACCAUCCUCCUGAUGAUCCUGCUAGAGGUGCCUCUAGCGAUUGCAGCUGCUUUCCCCAACAACUACUGGACGUAUGUGGCUCUGAGGAUCGCUGGGGGCUUGUUCUUCCCGGCGUUGUAUCAGCAGCCGUUUAUCCUGGCUUUGGAGCUGAUGCCGCCUAGGAGCCGGACUUAUACGGGUAUUGUGGUAGGAAUGCUGUUUGCCAGCGGGAUGUGCCUACUGGCGUUGUUAGCGUAUGCUGUGAAGGACUGGUUCUACCUGUCCCUGGCUACUAGUCUUCCCUUUAUAGUACUGUAUGGUUAUUAUUGGCUCAUACCAGAAUCUCCAAGGUGGCUGGUCAGCAGAGGGCGGAUAGCUGAAGCAGAGAAGGUAUUCAGGAACCUUGCUAAGAAAAACGGCAUUGAUUUGCCUCGAGGGUUUCUACUAGAAAUUCACAAAAAAGUUAAAGAAGAGGACGCCGAAACAGAAGUGACAAUGCUCAGAAACGUAAACGGAAAUAUCUCUGGAUUCCCAGACCCAGCUGACAAGGACGACUUUGUAGACAGAAGGAUCAGUAACAUGCUCACAUUCAAACCAGAUUUCACCAGAAUCCCUGAUAGUGACGAACCAAAAGGAGAGAACCUUGAAAGAAUAAUCGCACACGAAGUCGCUGAAAUAGUGAAUAAAAAGGCGCGAUUAAAAAAAGAAAGAGAAAGCAUCAGAGAUGAUGUAUUGAAAGAGGAAGACGGUAUUACAGAAGAAUCUCAUUUAAACACUGACGCUAAACAAAAAGCAACGCAAACUGAGCCGUAUAAAUCUCCUGCUAAUACAUUGAGAAGAAAAUCCCUACAACUUGUAAAUAAAAUCUUCAUUAGGGACGGAGAAGAAUAUGAUGUAGAGAAUAAGAGAAUGGACGAUGAGAACUCAGAAGGAGACUGCAAAGCUUCUCCAUUAGAUGUCUUUAGAUAUCCCAAUAUCAGGAAGAAAUUCUUCCUUCUCACCUUCAAUUGGGUGGCUAUAGGAGUAGUUUAUAAUAGUUUGAGUUAUAAUACGCCUAAUUUAGGUGUGGAUGAUUAUUUGGCGUUCUUCAUUGGUGGCGUGGUAGAGUUACCAUCGUACUUCAUGGCAUGGCGCUGCAUGGACCGGUUCGGGCGGCGCUGGGUGCUGUGCGUCUUCACGCACGUCGGGGGCCUGGCAUGCUUGAGCUGCGUCUUUGUUCCUGAAGCCUGGCCAUGGAUCACGGUGGUCUUAGCAAUGCUGGGCCGGCUGUUCAUAGCGGCAUCGUUCGCGGUCUUCUACGUCCAGAUCGGGGAGUUGCUUCCGACGGUAUUACGAGCGCAGGCGAUGGGAGCAUCAUCCUUUAUAGCUGGUCUGGGGCUGCUGGCGUGCCCUUAUAUUGUGCAUUUGGUAAGUGAUUACCAUGGGUUAGAACGGUCAUAAAACCUUUUCAUCAAAUACUUUCGAUUAUCGACACAACUUUUUAAAUAAUCAUUAACUUGAGGCAAACCAUCUCAAUUUUUCUUUUUUAUGUUUAUCAAACCCGUUCAGUCAUCAUCAUCACCAAUAAUAGACUACUGCAGGAAAAUUACAUUAGGUACAUCAUCGUCAAUUCAUUAUUAUUUCAGCCACAGGAUGUCCACAGCUGAACAUAGGCCUCCACCGAUGAUUUCCUUAGUGACCGGCUGGUAGCGGCCUACAUUCUGCCUUUAUGAUGUCGUCUACACCACUCUCCAAUCACUCAAAUUUAUUAGAGGCAAAAUAAAAUGGAGAUUGGUUGGGCAGUCCUGAUGUUCGCAUAUUUCUCGCCUAGUCGUCUAUUACGAUUUCCAUGAGAGAGUGGAGUAACCCUAUUCUACUCUGAUGGAACCAUAUAGCUGUCUGUACUAAGCAUCAUCAUCAUCAUUUCAGGACGCUCACUACUGAACAAUAUAUGUAGAAGCAUCCCCCAAUGAUUUCCAGAUUGGCCGGUUCGUAGCAGCCUGCAUUCAGCUUUCUGCUACCUUAAACCUAGGCGCAGACCACCGAUUUUUAGUUGGCCGAUAGUUGGACCCGAUUCUAAUUUGUAUGAGGAAUCGUCAUGGCCAUCUGUCCACGUAGUGGUACUAACCAAGUUGUAUUUA